CUUUGUCGCUAAGAUUCG
rnacentral:snRNA from 1 species